ensembl:misc_RNA Metazoa_SRP Metazoan signal recognition particle RNA
GCCGGGCAUGGUGGCUCAUGCCUGUAAUCCUAGCACUUUGGGAGGUUGAGAUGGGUGGAUCACCUGAGGUCAGGAGUUCAAGACCAGCCUGGCCAACAUGGUGAAACCCCAUCUUUA